rnacentral:ncRNA from 1 species
GCCAGCAGCCGCGGUAAUUCCAGCUCCAAUAGCGUAUAUUUAAGUUGUUGCAGUUAAAAAGCUCGUAGUUGGACCUUGGGCCGGGUCGGCCGGUCCGCCUCACGGCGAGCACCGACCUACUCGACCCUUCGGCCGGCAUCGCCCGCCUAGCCUUAAUUGGCCGGGUCGUGUUUUCGGCAUCGUUACUUUGAAGAAAUUAGAGUGCUCAAAG